rnacentral:rRNA from 1 species
GGUGAAAUGCGUAGAUAUCUGGAGGAACAUCAGUGGCGAAGGCGACUCCCUGGCCAAAGACUGACGCUCAUGUGCGAAAGUGUGGGUAGCGAACAGGAUUAGAUACCCUGGUAGUCCACACCGUAAACGCUGUCUACUAGCUGUGUGUGUCUUUAAGACGUGCGUAGCGAAGCUAACGCGCUAAGUAGACCGCCUGGGGAGUACGGCCGCAAGGUUAAAACUCAAAUGAAUUGACGGGGGCCCGCACAAGCGGUGGAGCAUGUGGUUUAAUUCGAUGCAACGCGAAGAACCUUACCUACACUUGACAUGCUGAGAAGUUACUAGAGAUAGUUUCGUGCCUUCGGGAACUCAGACACAGGUGCUGCAUGGCUGUCGUCAGCUCGUGUCGUGAGAUGUUGGGUUAAGUCCCGCAACGAGCGCAACCCUUGUCCUUAGUUGCCAGCCUUAAGUUGGGCACUCUAAGGAGACUGCCCGGNUGACAAACCGGGAGGAAGGUGGGGACGACGUCAAGUUCAAUCAUGGCCCCUUACGUGGUAGGGCUACACACGCUGCUACAAUGG